rnacentral:sRNA from 1 species
CAAAUCUUCACCCUCUUUUUCUGAUGGAAGUCAGAAGCUUUGCAGGAAGCCAAAGGGUCUGUCCUUGCUCAGCUCUCCAUCCCUGUCCUUCCCUGGCAAUGGGUACUCUUUUUCUUUAGCACUCAGGGAC